AAGAAAGCCAAACCUGAAAAUUAGGACUCCCUAAAAUAAGUCAACAUACAGUUCAGUUGAUAGAGCUCUAAUUUCUAUUGAUCUUUUUAGGAAUCGUAUUUACUGUGUGAGGAAAGCUGCCUGUCGCACCGAUCUAGAUGAUAAAUGGAGAGAAGUUAAAAGGGACAAGGAAAGGAACAUGCAGAAGCAAGAGGAUGACUGGAAAAAGAUGGAUUUACUCCUGGGAAUCCAGUGGAUAGAACCUGUAGAACCAGUAGCACCCACAGAAUUUUAUAUAACCAUUCUGCAGAUAGCCCC
rnacentral:lncRNA from 1 species